rfam:Shimwellia blattae DSM 4481 = NBRC 105725, complete genome.
GCCGCGUAUUGCGGCAUAUAGGUUCAGUUAUAUAAAACCUCGAUCUUUCGGGGUUUUUUGUUAUCUGGCAGUAGUAUAACUGGGCUUUACGCCCUUUUUUU